rnacentral:rRNA from 1 species
AACGAGCGCUGGCGGCAGGCUUAACACAUGCAAGUCGAACGCCCCGCCAGGGGAGUGGCAGACGGGUGAGUAACGCGUGGGAACAUACCCUUUUCUACGGAAUAGCUCUGGGAAACUGGAAUUAAUACCGUAUACGCCCUACGGGGGAAAGAUUUAUCGGGGAAGGAUUGGCCCGCGUUGGAUUAGCUAGUUGGUGGGGUAAAGGCCUACCAAGGCGACGAUCCAUAGCUGGUCUGAGAGGAUGAUCAGCCACAUUGGGACUGAGACACGGCCCAAACUCCUACGGGAGGCAGCAGUGGGGAAUAUUGGACAAUGGGCGCAAGCCUGAUCCAGCCAUGCCGCGUGAGUGAUGAAGGCCUUAGGGUUGUAAAGCUCUUUCACCGAUGAAGAUAAUGACGGUAGUCGGAGAAGAAGCCCCGGCUAACUUCGUG